rnacentral:sRNA from 1 species
AAAUCAAAAGCAAAUACUGAAUACUGAAUAGAUUAAGAGAAAUCCGGAUUACAAAAACGUCAACAACACAGUGUCGAAAAUGUAAAAUACAUGCUACUUAUAGCAAAAUAUUCCGAAACCCUAAUACUCAAAACGACACAGUAUUGGGACGGAUUAAGAAUGGCACUCGACCUAGGUGGUCGAGUGAAUGGUCGAGUGAUAAGCUAGAGUCUUAUUUUCUUCAUUGUGCUCGAGUGUCUGGUUGAGUGCGGAAUGGAGAAGACUCUGAAGCUGGCACUCGAGUAUGAAGUCGAGUGAUGGAUAUGGUUGUACUCGGCUUGGUGGUAGAGUGGUCGGUCGAGUGUGUGAUGAUGGUGAGACUCGGCCGUGCAAUCG